UAGAUCUUCUAUUCAGUCCUGGAUCAAAUCUACCAUGGAAAGUACCCUUUACCAAAAUCAACCACGGAGAUAUUAAAGGAAACCCAGGAGAAAUUUUAUGGACUGCCCUAUGUACAAAACACGGCAUGGCAACUGCGCUUUAGCCACCUUGUUGGAUAUGGUGCCAAGUAUUACUCCUAUCUAAUGUCAAGAGCAGUAGCGUCCAUGGUUUGGAAGCAAUGUUUCAUGAAGGACCCACUUAACAGGAUUAUGGGAGACCGCUAUCGCAGAGAGAUGUUGGCGCACGGUGGUGGAAAAGUGCCUAUGUUCAUGGUUGAAGAUAUGCUUCAGAAGAAACCAUCAAUGGAUGACUUUGUUGAUGCCUUAGUGACAGAUCUGGAUUUAAACUUUGAAACAUAAUUGAUGGACUCAGAGUAAUUGAUACAUAAGUCUGCAUGUUGUUUGAAUUGCAUCAGCAUUCAUGACAUAAUGCUGUAUGUGUGUAUAUAUUGUGAUUUAUAGACAUAAUUUCAAUGUCAUUUUGUAGUGAUUGGAGCUUAAUUUAACUUGUAAUUUUCAUUAAAGUAUAUGUUACUUUUUAAA